GAUUGUUGUGUCAAAGGAUGUUUAUAUUUAACACUUAAUUCAUGCUGUCAUGUUGUUCUCCACCAAGAUGUCCAUGUUUUGCACUACCACCAACUUUGCCUUAGAUGCCUAUAUCCUCACACCCGUAUCUACUAAGGGAUUCAAAAAUGCAUUUACUUCCUUCUGUAUGUGGCACACAAGUUCAAGAUCUUUUCCAAAUAUAUUUUCAAUCACCUCAUGGUGUCUUAGCACCACAUGAUUAAGUUGUACUUCUGUAGAGAUAAUGUCAUACAAUCUGCACCCUGAUCUGUGGAAAAACCAGAUAUUGCUUGAUAUUCACCACUAUAUUGAUCAAGGAGCUGCUGAAGGGACACUGACUCCUGGAUAGCUUCCUCCAAGUGGGGGCUUUUUCUUUCUAUCAUGCAGAGUAAGUGAGCUUUUUUGUUGUUUGUA